GAUGAACGCUGGCGGCGUGCCUAAUACAUGCAAGUCGAGCGAACAGACGAGGAGCUUGCUCCUCUGACGUUAGCGGCGGACGGGUGAGUAACACGUGGAUAACCUACCUAUAAGACUGGGAUAACUUCGGGAAACCGGUGCUAAUACCGGAUAAUAUAUUGAACCGCAUGGUUCAAUAGUGAAAGACGGUUUUGCUGUCACUUAUAGAUGGAUCCGCGCCGCAUUAGCUAGUUGGUAAGGUAACGGCUUACCAAGGCAACGAUGCGUAGCCGACCUGAGAGGGUAAUCGGCCACACUGGAACUGAGAGACGGUCCAGACUCCGACGGGAGGCAGCAGUAGGGAAUCUUCCGAAAUGGGCGAAAGCCUGACGGAGCAACGCCGCGUGAGUGAUGAAGGGCUUCGGAUCGUAAAACUCUGUUAUUAGGGAAGAACAAAUGUGUAAGUAACUAUGCACGUCUUGACGGUACCUAAUCAGAAAGCCACGGCUAACUACGUG
rnacentral:rRNA from 1 species